CUGAGGCAAUUUACCGCGUUGAAAGCACGCCAUCCCGUCCGAUCUGGCAAGUUAAGCAACGCUGGGCUUCCUUAGUACUUGGAACGGAGACUUUUUUUUUUUUUUU